rnacentral:rRNA from 2 species
AACUUUCAACAACGGAUCUCUUGGCUCUCGCAUCGAUGAAGAACGCAGCGAAAUGCGAUAAGUAAUGUGAAUUGCAGAAUUCAGUGAAUCAUCGAAUCUUUGAACGCACCUUGCGCCCCUUGGUAUUCCGAGGGGCACACCUGUUUGAGUGUCG